GGAGUCGUGGCCGAGUGGUUAUGGCGCUAGUUUCAGGUUUGAUUCUACUGUCUGGUUUCCCGAAUUACUAGUUGGGCAACCUUCGCGAGUUCGAGUCUCGCCGACUUCA